CCAUAGCCAUUACUUACAAUUAAUUCUUCAACCAUCAGGAGUAACAUAAAAGAUAUCAAAGAGAAGCUAUCAACAAUAAAGAUGGAUGAGAUACAGUACCUUCAGAGUCUUUUGCAAAAGGUUGAAGAACAGAACAGAAGCAUGGAAAAUCAGAUACAAUCACUCAUGAAGAAUCAGGACCAAACAAUGCUUUGAAUGCAGUGGAGAAGUUGAAAAGCUGGAACUCCCUUCUAUGAAAGUAUAUGCCAUGGAUCCUGUCCUUGCUGCAGCUUUUACUGCUGGAGCUUCUUACCAAUAUUUGUCAUCUACUACGCUUCUACUUAAUUGUUUGUUUUUUCCUACUUGCAACUAACGUAGAAUGCUUCAGCAUUUGCAGAUAUUGAAACCAUUGGUACAAUGAAUAUUUUUCCCUUUAUUAAGUUUUUUUUGUUGUUGUUUCAAAA